UGGGGUACAGCUCAGUUGGUAGAGUGCUUGCCUUGCAUGCAAAAGGCCCUGGGUUCAAUCCCCAGCACCACAC
rnacentral:tRNA from 1 species